UAACCUAUAAAAAUGGCAGUUUCAUGUGAUUGAACUUAAUUGCAAUUUUUCUCUUUUGUUUUUAUAGGGCAUCAAAGUUAUUAUGUAUGGAACCCUAACCUCAAAGGAUUACUCUGGAGAUUUCCUUUUAAGGUGAUGGAAAUAUUCUAAAAUUGGAUUGUGGUGAUGGUUGCACAAUUCUAUAAGUUCACUAGAAAUCAUUAAAUCAUACAUUUAGAAUGAGUGUAUUUUUGGUAUGCAAAUUAUAUCUUACAGCUGUUAAAAGGACUGAAGGAGCUCACUCAGGACACGCACGUGGUUGGGGUGGAAUUUGGUGUUUCCCACUGUCCUUUUUAGUGGGGUGUCUCACAGCAUCCUUGGGAGGUGAGAUGUUCUCAACUUGGAGUCCUGCCUUGAAGCCCAUUUGCCCUUAUCGUUGCCUGGAGACAUUGCACCAAAGUUACUAAGGUGGAUCAAAGGCUUUUCCUUUUCUACUGGGGGCGAGCGCAUUGGGGGCUGGGGAUUGGGGCUGGUGGCCAAGGAGGGCCUAACUUCAUUGGUAAGGUUCUGAUUAUUUUACCAGGAGAAUGGCUUUGUGUGUUAUUUGUGUAAUUAAAAAUUAAGCAAAGGAAUAAUGUGAACACUUAGGUCUUCGACAUUCACAUAAAUGGAUGUCCUAAAUACAAUAAUAUGCAUUGAAUUGAACUAAACCCAAAAGACAACAAACACUCUGCUUUGGUGUUUUGUCAGAGAGGUUUUCCCUCUCAUUUGCUCUUGCCUUUGAUCAAUGGUACUUGAUAAUAUCAAACCACUUUUAUUCAAAUUGUAUCUUAACAGAUAUGAAAUUUGUCUUCCUAAUAUCUUGUGUGACAAGAAGUCCCAAGGAAUUGAUUAGAUGUAUUCUUCUACUCAUAAUACAUAGUUUUAAUUACUGCAGCUCAUUUAAAUUGGUUAUUCUUGUGUGCUAAUUUUUUUCAGAUAAGCUUUAAUAUUAAUUUUUUCAUGUUACCUACCUACUAAAAGACUCAUUUGGAUUUUGACUGAAAUUGAAUUAAAUUUAUUCUUUUAAUUUUGCUAGAAUUGGCAUUUUAACUAUAAUUAUUCUUUCCCUCUGUAUAUCUCUUCAUUUAUUAUUGUCUUCUUAAAGGUCUUGAGAAGGAUUCUUUAGUGUUCUUUAUGUGAGUCCUCCACAUUUUUAGUUGAUUCCUUGGUUUCUAAUACUUUGUGCUACUAUUGUGAUUACCAUAUUUCUUUCUCAUUAUGUUUCCUAACAUAUAAUUUAUGAUAUAUCAGUGAAUUAAUUCAUUACUAUUCUGCAACUAUGAAUAGGGAAACCAUUUGUUCUGCAUACUUAUUCUGUAACUGUACCUCUGAUUAAUAUUUUUAUUAUUAAGUUUGGGGUUACUAGGCAUAUACUACUGGUUACGAUAAUUUUGAGCCUUCAUUUACAAAGUAAUUGUGGCAAUUUAAAAACAUGUAUGCAAAUUAUUUGAUACUCCUUUUAUAAUGAGGAUGAUGUCCUCUUCCUUUGAAUAAAGAUUGAUCUCAGUGAAUCCCUUACAACCAGUAGAAUCUAACAUAAGUGAUGUGGUAUAACUUUGAAGGUCAGGACAGAAAAGGUCACUUAGUUUCCACCAGAAAUCGUGGGAUAUUCCUCUGGGUGAAGUCAGGGGCUAGACCAUGAGUCUGAUGGCCCUGAGACUACCAUGCUGUAGAGGCCCAUGUAGACAUGUUCUUUGAUAGCCCAACUGAUCUCCUAGCCAACAGCCAGUAUCAACAGUAGCCAUGUGUAUGAGCCAUCUGGAACAUCCCACCCAGUGAAGGCUUAAGAUGACUAUAACCCUAACCGACAUCUGAUUGUACUGAUAGGAGAAAUCCUAAACAAGAACUGACCAGGUGACCCCUCCCUGAAUCCCUGACCUGGGAAUCAUAAACAAAAUAAAAAUGGUUGUUUUGGGUGAAUUUUUUGUACAGUAAUGGUAACCUUAGUAGUAAUCUCUCUUUUUGCUUGCCUAAUUGCAUUCGCUGCAUUGACAUCAGCCAAAAAAUUAGAUAAUAGCAAUGAUGUAGGCAUUUAUGAUUUAAUAGAAAUAUACUUACCUUUUUUUCUAUUAUUGAAUACAUUGACUAUUAGGCAUUUUAUAGUCAUAUAGAACUCCAGACACUCGCUUGCUAAGUACCACAAAUCUCUCCAAGUCCAAGUAACCCCCAGAAGCAACUGUCCUCCUUGUGAUUUAGUGAUCUGGGCUGAUGGGGGCUCCUUGCUCUUAUAGCUGCAUCAUCUGGAUCAUUGGACCUCCUUGACUGAUGAGGUAGGGAAGAAAAUGCUGUAGAGUCUAUUACCAACAAUUAGAUACUUUGGCAUAGAAUUGAUACAUAUCAAUUCUGCUCAAGCUGAUUGGCCAGGAUUUGUCACACAACCCCACUAAUUUCAAGGAGAGUAAGAAGGUGUAAUCUUCCUUUAUGUCUGGAUGGUAAGGAGAAGUAGAUAUAGGUAAAUUCUAGUAAUGCCAACCACUCAUUAUUUUAUCUUCCUGUGCUAAAAAACUGUCUUAUAAUUACUAGCUUACUGAGACUUUCAUAUUUGAUCAGAAACUGAUACUGAAUUUUGACAAAUGUUUUUUUCAGUAUUUAUUAAGAUGAUUAUAUGCCUGUCUUUUUCAAUCUAUAGACUUCCUAAUACUGAAUUAUUCUUGGAUUCCUGGCACACAGGCUACUUGGGCGUGGCGUAUUAUUUUUAAAAAGCAGCUAACUAUAAAAUUUGGUAAAAAUCUUUGCAUUUAUACAUGUGACUGGUCUAAAAGUUUUAGGGGUGUGUGUGUAUGUGUACUUUUUCAGAUUUGGUAUCUAUGCCAUUUUAGCUUCAUAAUAUUCAUAAUAUAAGUUGGGAGGCUUUCCUUCAUUUGCAUUGUUCUAGAAUAGUACAUACGGCACAAGAAUUACAGUUUUGUUCGAAAGCUUGAACAAGUGCACUCAUAAAACUAUUUGUUCUUGUAUCUUUUAGGGAAAAAUUAACAGUGUAAACAUUUUUUUUCUGAUAACUGAUCUACUCAGCAUUUCUAUUUCUUGAGCCAAUUUUGGUAACAUUCAUACUUUUCCAAAAUGAUCCACUUGAUCAAGAUUUUAAAAUUAGUCUCCACAGUUGUUCAUAAUAUCCUUUUGUAGUGUAUAAUUUCCCUUUUCACUAUAAUAUCCCUUUUCUAUUCCCUAAAUUUCCAAAUUUUGAAUAUUUGUGUUUUAUUUUGGUGACCAUUGUCAGCAAUUUGUUUUGUUGGAUGCAACAAUAAAAAAUUUCUUGGACUCAGUUAUGAAAUCUAGUGUUUUUCUGCAUUUGUAUUCAUUGUACAAUGUCUUCCUAUCCCUGGCAAGAACCUUGAUUUCAUGGACAGUCACUUUCUCUGAUUUCUCAAAGUGAACCGUGGCUUUGAACUCUUGCAUCUUUUCAUGUGUCUGGCGAUGUUUUCCUGUUUAUUCAUCCUUAUAAGUGGAGUUCUGAGCUUGCUCAGAGUCGGGAGCUGCCAGAAAACACGGUGGGGGAAGAAGAGG
rnacentral:lncRNA from 1 species